rnacentral:lncRNA from 1 species
UUAAUCAUCAAGCACUUGUUCUUCUUUCACAUCUCCUUUUGCCAUUAAUUGUAUCGGUACUGCUACUGCUGCUCCUGUUAUUGCUCGUUCGUUUUCUUCUUCUCGUUAUUCUACUUCUUCUCUUUUUGCCAUCAAUCGCGUUGUUACAGCUGUCGUUGUCGCUAUUGCUUAUCCUUUUGCCAUCAAUUCACUUUGAGCAACAGGCAACAAAAAAAGAUAGAGAAUGAGAGUAGAUUCAACAGCAAUUUUUAUCAUUAAUAAUUCAGAUAAAUAGGUUGUAAAUUAGGCAAACAUGAAGGAGUUGUCGAGCAAAAUUUAUAAGCUUGAAGUUAACAUACGUCGACAUCAACAACGGAAGAAAGUAUAAAUAACCAAGCCACAAUCCAAGAGUAAAUUGAAGCAACAGGAAACCAAACAUGAAUAAGAAGUGGCACAAAAGAAAUAGGAGCACUAAUGAUUAUGUCCUAUCUAAAUAAUAUUAGAAUUCAUUUUCUAGGUUGAACUGCUAUUUAUAAUCAUAUAGUAUUCUUAUCAACAUAGUGGAACAAGCUCGAUAAACAUAUAGAUUUUUUUUUUUUUGUGAUCA